AGUUUUCAAGGGAGGGUCUCACUCUGCAGCCCUGACUUGCUGGCUUUGAUCCUCCACUGGAGAUGCACCUGUUUCUGGCCUCUGAAGCCCUGGGGCUGAAGGUGUGCACCAUCACAUCUAGCCAAUCACCCCGAUUUUCUGGAGAGGGUUAGGGAGGUUCCCUCAACCCCUCAGGAGACACAGAGAGAAGAGGAUGCUUGAAAGACGUCCUUCCUGGGUCCCACCAGCUCGGUCCAGUUCCACCCCAGCAGGGAUUCUAUAGUUCUAGACCACGUUCCUGCCCCCAAUGGGAUCCGACCUUAAGCCCGGAGCUCACCAGGUAGUUCUCAUCCUGGAAGGCGAAGUGCAGCUGCGUGAUCCAGCGCCGGUCCCCCUUCACCAAUACAUCCCUUUCUUCCCGGAAGCAUGACACCUGUGAGGAUGAUUUUAGGAUUCUGCUUCCAAAACCUCUGCCAUGUUUGGGGGACCCAGAACUGACGGUUUCCACAGGGCUGCAGGGCAGCAAGGGAAGCCCUCAAUUCCCACUCCACGUGCAGAUUCGGAUGCUCAGUCAGGUCCUGAGACCUCAUCUAAUGCCCUGGGCCAUGGCCUCCACAGGCAGCGGCGUCUAGCCAGCACGAGGACUGCGCUUGGGAAACACUGAGUGUGCAGCCUGGAGUAGGGAGGGUCACAGCCCGCCAGAUCCUGGGCACUGCUGGAAGCAUUCUUGGUCUCCAAGGGGCAGGAGAGCCUUUUUGCGGCCAAAGCUGCAGGGGUAAGGUCCCGUGCUAGGGUGCUUCAGCAGGAGGAGGGCAGCUAGGUCAGGGGCUGACAACCUGGGGGCAGGGGGCAGAGGAAGGCCAGGUCUCCCUUGGGGAAAGUCAGGACUGGCGGUAAGGACAGAGGAGGACUGAGUGCGGGGAAG